rnacentral:pre_miRNA from 1 species
GCGCCGAGCCCCUCGCACAAACCGGACCUGAACGUUUUGUUCGUUCGGCUCGCGUGA